GUAAAGGUUUCUGUAUCUCUAGUCAUUUUACUUUUUGCGUUCGUCUCCAAUUCAGCGUUUUACAUUUCAAGUUAAUUUUUUUUUAUUUCAAAUAAUUACAUUUUUAAAAUUUUAUAAUUUAGCUGUGUAGUCUACAAACAUUUACUGUUGGGAUUCUUUUUGUAUUGUACUUUAUUAUUAUUAUAACACCAUAUUAUGAAGAUUUUAAUUGAAUGGUUAAAUCAUCAUCUGUUACUUUGGUUUUUUGUCAAAUAAAUGGCUAUUUAACUUAUACAAAUGGAUAACAAAAUUAUCUUAUUGGAGUUGAUCUAAACUGAAUGUGAAAUUGAAGAAUAAUUUAUUGUCUUGUGUUUGGCCACCAUCAUAUAUACUCAUCAUAACAGUUAAAAGACAGCAGAAACACAUAUUGGUGUUGACAAAAGAAAAUCUUUACAAAUAGUUGCAAUCAUUUUCUCUUUAAUAUUUAGCAUCUUUUAUAAUUUUAUUUAAUAAAUAUUGUUUAAGUAUUUAUAAAA